CGUGGCUCUUCCCUGCCUGUGAGCCUGGAAAGUACCAGAAUAAAUAAUCCAGGCAUUCUUUCUUUGGAUGUGGAUAGUGUUCUUUCUCAUAAGUUCCUCUGGAUUGUUCCGGAUCAUGUGAUAUAGACUUUGAAUGACAGAGGCUGGAAGAAAUGCAAAGGUGUUGGAAUCUUGAGGGAAGAGGAGAUUCCAGGGGAUAGGCAGAUGGUCUCUCUCUCUCUAUCCUGAGACAGCAAUGGGGAAAGUCUGAUCUAAGUCUGGAUCCUAUGUAACAUACAAAAUCCCUCAUUGAACCUUAUCACCAUUUCCCACCAAAGAUACCAAGAAGUGUGACAGAAAUUGGAGAAGAAUAAGAAGCAGCCUAACAAGAUCUUGCACAGCUUCUUGACACUCUGGGUCUGGACAUUUCCUCUGCUGUGAUGAAGACCAGGGGUUACAAACCUGAACCUCUCAGAGAUCAGGCUAGCAAGCCUGAGUCUCUCAACUUUGGAGGGAGGGAAGGGAGAUUUAGACAGACAGGUGUUCAGUCCAGUUCUGGUUCGGAUUCCAAGGAGGACACACACGGUGAUGCAAUUCACAAAAGGAAUCUUCCGUUGAUUCUUUCAACAGCAGAAAGAUAAUCACCACUGAGAAGUCACAAUGAUACUCUGUCUCCUCCAGGACUGGCACAGGAAACUGAAUUGCCUUGGGAAGAUUCUGAACAUCACCUGUCAAGAUAAUGACCCAGACACUAAAGUCCUUUCUUGAAAUGAAUAAUCAAGAGUUCAAACUCUACCAUAGAG
rnacentral:lncRNA from 1 species